GAUGAACGCUGGCGGCGUGCUUAACACAUGCAAGUCGAACGAUGAAGCCCAGCUUGCUGGGUGGAUUAGUGGCGAACGGGUGAGUAACACGUGAGUAACCUGCCCUUAACUCUGGGAUAAGCCUGGGAAACUGGGUCUAAUACCGGAUAGGAGCGUCCACCGCAUGGUGGGUGUUGGAAAGAUUUAUCGGUUUUGGAUGGACUCGCGGCCUAUCAGCUUGUUGGUGAGGUAAUGGCUCACCAAGGCGACGACGGGUAGCCGGCCUGAGAGGGUGACCGGCCACACUGGGACUGAGAGACGGCCCAGACUCCUACGGGAGGCAGCAGUGGGGAAUAUUGCACAAUGGGCGCAAGCCUGAUGCAGCGACGCCGCGUGAGGGAUAACGGCCUUCGGGUUGUAAACCUCUUUCAGUAGGGAAGAAGCGAAAGUGACGGUACCUGCAGAAGAAGCACCGGCUAACUACGUG
rnacentral:rRNA from 1 species